GGUUCUUUAACAUGCAGAGUUGCACUGUCCCUACAGAAAGGACCUAUACUUUUUAAACUGCCAUUCCAAUUUUUGUUUUGUUUUAAAUAUGAUAACUUUAGAAGACUUAAAGGCGGGGGGUCAUAAAAAUAUCAAAAAUAAUCCCACCCUCAAUGUUUAUUAUCUAGAACUCUGUUUUCUAUUUUGCUUUCAUAUUAUUUUUUGGUAUUUUCUUUUUUAUAUAUUUUUUUCUUUUUUUUUUACAGAGCUCUAGAUAAUAAAAAUAUUCAGAUGUUAAAGUUUGGAGGUAUAAAAACAAGUCAUUCUAAAUCAGAAUAUUGCACAAUUUUAAUGUUAGUGGAUUUUCUCAUUGUUGAAGCCCAUACAGUAACCUAUUUUACAUUAACAUCAUUUGGUCUCUGUAGGAUAGUUGUCUCACAUCUCUUGAUAUCACAACAAAUCAAUUUGUAGGUUCUAUAAAGUGGUCCAAUCCUAUGGUGAAGGGAGGGGGAAUUUUGACUGCCAACCGAAGAGGAUAUUUUUGGACAGAAAUUUAGCCUAUUAAUGCAACAAGCCACAUCCUACUGACACCUCAAAAGAGUUGUGACAAGGGUUCUUUAACGUGCAGAGUGGCACUGUCUGUCCCUACAAAUAGGACCUAUACUUUCCCGCUACCUCUAUGUGUAGACAACAUCACUGUUGUGACAUUCUUAUUUCUAAGCCUUAAUUUAUGUCCGUUACAACGCCCUUAGGGAGGAAAUAGUAGCAGAUAGUAGCAGAUAUUACUACACCCUCAAAUGGAUUGUAGAAGUCCAGUUUACAAUAAUGGUACUUUCAGCACCAUAACCUGCUUUGGUUGUCUUGUCCAGCUCUCAAUGGUCCAAAAUGCUGUACAAUGGAUUAUGAUUUAAAAAUU
rnacentral:lncRNA from 1 species